AAAAUAAAACUAUAUCCAAUAGUAGGAUAUUAUACUUACUCGCCGUAACAUCUGAAUCUAAUCUCUGUCAGUGCAGAAGAUUCUUAUUAAUCGUCAAUAUUCAAUUUGCUUUCUGCGUCUUAACAUACCUUGUAGCUGGUAGCCGGAUGAACCUAAUAUCAGCAAAAUGGUUGCUCAGUUCAACAGCUGAGACUACUUGAUUACUGAGUGAAAGGAGGAAAUAUAAAGUGUCAAUUGGCUGUUUAGAAUCUAAACCACCCUCCAUAUGUACUUUUCCUGGCACUCAGUAGAACUGUAGCAACCAGCUAUCUGAAACUCAUCUCAUCACAAAGCAUAGACGUAACU